rnacentral:lncRNA from 1 species
AGCCUGCCCCUCCUGACGCUCUCAGAGUCUGGCCUUCUGCUGGGCCCCGGGUCUCUCACUGGCAGAAUGGAGUUCUCGGAGCUGAUCCAUACGGGCUGAGCCCAAGCAGAGUUUCUACGGGGCCCGGAGGCGCCCCCGCUUCGCGGCACGGUGUGAGUCACCGUCCACCACCUGCUCCUGUCGCCAGGGCCCGCGUCCUCUCCGGACCUGUGGCUGCUGCUGUUGCGUAGCGUCGACUCCUUCGAGAAGCAGUUCUGCUACGCUCCAGCCAGCCCCUAACUGGUCCCCAGAAGCGGCGCUGCUACAGGGACCAGGAGCUGCUGCGAACUGCGCUGGCGGGGGCUCGUCCUUGGGCGCGGGGCUUCAUCAUGGACACGCUCUCGGCCCAGGCCGCGAAACAAGCCCGCGUGACUGGCGGAGGCACAGAGACCAAGGCCGCUUAACCUGGCUGGUUGCACUGGUCCCUGGAGAGAGGGCGUCCCCUGCAGGAGAGCUUCAUGCGCCUGGUGGAGGCCUGUGGGGACUCGGAGCAAAGCAUGGACAACUGGCUGAGUCGGCUGGACGGCUGCCGCUGACUGUAACAUGUAAAGCAGGCACUGAGCACCACCUGCCUGGCAGUCCAGGGCAUGGAGAGAUGCCGUGUGAAGGGAGGACUCAGAUGCACUCCCUGUGGUCUGGGCUCAACCAGCCAAAAGAGCAACAAAGACUCCAGAACCCACUCUACCUCCUCAAUCCCUUGGCCAUCUGUGGAGCCCCAGAGCCUGCGGCUGUGGCAAGGCCUGUUUCUGCGCUGGACCUGCUCACCUGAGCCUGCAGAAGCUGCAUGGGGGAAGAGUGUGGCAAAUAGUGACAGGAAGGGAGAAGACAGAAGCCUCUCAGCCAACUGCUUCAGCCGAGCCCCUAUUCUAAGCACUGGCUCCUUGGAUAGCAGCUGAGAUGUUCCUGAAACCUCUGCAGGCCCCUUAGGACCUUUACACCUUGGAUGAGGGUGCCUGCAACCCAGGUUAGCCAAAAGUACUGAGGGUCUUAAGUUUGAAGUGUCCAAAGUAUAGGGAGGUCUCAAUAAUAAAAGUCUCCAUGAUCAGCAUCA